UACGUAGGGGGCAAGCGUUAUCCGGAUUUACUGGGUGUAAAGGGAGCGUAGACGGCCAGACAAGUCUGAAGUGAAAAUCCAGCGCUUAACGUUGGAAGUGCUUUGGAAACUGCCGGGCUAGAGUGCAGGAGGGGCAGGCGGAAUUCCUAGUGUAGCGGUGAAAUGCGUAGAUAUUAGGAGGAGCACCAGUGGCGAAGGCGGCCUGCUGGACUGCAACUGACGUUGAGGCUCGAAGGCGUGGGGAGCAAACAGG
rnacentral:rRNA from 1 species